UGAGUGGCGAACGGGUGAGUAACACGUGAGUAACCUGCCCUCUUCUUUGGGAUAACGCCCGGAAACGGGUGCUAAUACUGGAUAUUCACUGAUCUUCGCAUAGGGGUUGGUGGAAAGGUUUUUUCUGGUGGGGGAUGGGCUCGCGGCCUAUCAGCUUGUUGGUGGGGUGAUGGCCUACCAAGGCUUUGACGGGUAGCCGGCCUGAGAGGGUGACCGGUCACAUUGGGACUGAGAUACGGCCCAG
rnacentral:rRNA from 1 species